rnacentral:rRNA from 1 species
UACGGAGGGUGCAAGCGUUGCUCGGAAUCACUGGGCGUAAAGGGCGUGUAGGCGGUUUCGUAUGUCUGGCGUGAAAGCCCCGGGCUCAGCCCGGGAAGUGCGCUCGAAACUGCGCGGCUCGAGUGCCGGAGGGGAGAGUGGAAUUCCUGGUGUAGCGGUGAAAUGCGUAGAUAUCAGGAGGAAUACCGGUGGCGAAAGCGACUCUCUGGACGGCAACUGACGCUGAGGCACGAAAGCGUGGGGAGCAAACAGG